UACAGAGGGUGCGAGCGUUAAUCGGAAUUACUGGGCGUAAAGCGUGCGUAGACGGUUAUUUAAGUCGGAUGUGAAAGCCCCGGGCUCAACCUGGGAAUGGCAUUGGAAACUGGCGAGCUUGAGUGUGGCAGAGGGGGGUGGAAUUCCGCGUGUAGCAGCGAAAUGCGUAGAGAUGCGGAGGAACACCGAUGGCGAAGGCAGCCCCCUGGGCUGACACUGACGCUCAGGCACGAAAGCGUGGGGAGCAAACAGG
rnacentral:rRNA from 1 species